AUGGCUGACGGCGUCGUUACAGUUUGUGAUCUUCACAAACUUUCACGUGUUUCUCCACGACAAACUGGAUUGAGCCUCGGUUCUCCACCCCUAAAUGGAUUGAACCUCUUGGUUCUCCACCCCUAAAUGGAUCGAACCUCUUGGUUCUCCACCCCUAAAUGGAUCGAACCUCUUGGUUCUCCACCCCUAAAUGGAUCGAACCUCCUGGUUCUCCACCCCUAAAUGGAUUGAACCUCUUGGUUCUCCACCCCUAAAUGGAUUGAGCCUAUUGGUUCUCCACCCCUAACCUAAUCCUAUUCUUGUUUUAAUUGAAAAAUAAUUAUCAUUUUUCUCUUAGGUACAAUUUGGUUUCACUUUCAUUGGGUAGCUUGAUGGACUUUGAAAAAAUCAAGGGUAUGCUCUUUGCAAACGAUGCGAAUCCUGACCGAGCCAAGGCUGUCGUUGGUAACCUCCACCGUCUUGGAGUUACAAACGCUGUCGUGAUGACCUACGACGGAAAAGUUCUGCCCAAGAUGAGUAGGGGAUACAAUCGUGUAUUGCUGGACGCUCCAUGUAGUGGAACAUACAUAUAGUGUCAUUUCUAAAGAUCCUUCUGCAAAAACAUCUAAAGACAGCAAAGACAUCAACCGCUGCUCUCAUCUUCAAAAAGAACUUAUCCUUGCCGCUAUAGAUUGUGCCGACGAAGGUGGAUACAUUGUAUAUUCAACUUGCUCCGUUCUUGUCCGAUGGGUAGUAGAUUACGCGUUGAAAAUGACCUGCUGAGGGACGUCAUCGACCCUCCGGAGCUGAGUAACAUUGCCCGAACUAUUCUGACGAUGAAAGAAAUGGGAGCCCUUUUCGUUACAGCGAACGACGUUGUCUCCGCAUUGGAUGUUGACUUGAGUUACCUUGGCUAUGUCGUCUCACGUCUCCCAAUAGACGUUCACUUGGGCAAGCUCGUAAUGCUAGGGUAAAAACGCGAAUUCGGACACCGUUUUGGCUAAGAGGCUUCCUUAUGGGAAAUGUGUGUAUGGCCGAUCUGCUAAUUCCGGACAAAUUUUCUAAUUCACCGGACAUUUUUGCUAAUUUCGGACAGUAAUAUUUUUAAAAACUAAUUGAUUCAUUCGAUUCAAUUUCUUAUUCUUAAUCGAAUUGCUUAAGACAUUAAAGGGGAUGCAAUGAGAAAAAAACGAGAUAUUAAUGAUUAAAGUAAUCAUAACAAUGAUCUGUCAAAAUGAAAUGUCGUCUGCCCAAACCCAAAUUACACUAGAUCGGCACUCUUCCAAAACACAGAAUUCUAUUUAAUUAAUACAACAAUUAAUUUAUCUCAAUAAGUAGCCAAUAGUUUAAAAAUUAAUAGAUAUAAAUUUAAAAAUUUUCAAGCGGUGAAAAUUUCAAGAAAAUUGCGUUGAAACUACGGCAAGUUUGGCUUAAUGUCCGAUAUUAAAAAUCAUAAAAAUGCCUCCUAAAUUGACAUUUCAUCGACCAUUAUUGAUAUCACUACAUUCGUUAGGAUGGCCUCUGUUAAACUGUGGAAAUCGUAAUGUUUAAAGUCUUGGUAUAUUUAUAAAAUGAGUGAUUGCGUUUCUCCUUUUUCACCUAAGCCACCGUGUUGCUAAUUCCGGACAGCAGACUACAGCAGACGACACAAAAUGAUAUGCUAUUUAUUUCGAGAAAUUAAUACCAUAAUAGCUCAGCGGUA